CGCAGCAGAGGUUGAGGGUAAGCCGCCAGCUGCGCCAGGAUGCCCGUCAGCAACAAGUUGACGUGCAGCGAGUUGGACAGCAUGUUCUCCAGGCGCGACAGCAGGACGCUGACAAACGGACCUGUCCACGUUUCCACAGCGGCCGUAGACUUUGUGUCGUUGUCAACCUUCACCAGAGACAACAUGACUUCGUGGGUAACCCGAUAGGAGCGAACGGGCCGGUGCCGCCCGUCUUUUGUCACACAUGCCUGUGACAUUCGGCUGGGACGUUAUGUGGCCAAGGUACUCACCUUUGGAGAAGAGGAUGGACUCCAGCUGUCGGAGUGGCGGCGGGCUGCGGUCGGGCGAGCAGCAGGACGGCGUCAAGGCCAAGAUCUUUGCCGCCGACGCCGAGUAGAAGUCGCGCUCCCUCACCACGCGCCGCUGACUCAGCAUCAUGUGAUUGCACGGGAUCAGCGAUGCUGGGAGUUCACCUGAGGAUGAGCUGCAACAUGACGUCUUCACAGUGCAAACCGAUCAGAGUGCGGAAAAGCGCCAGCGACACGAUGCCCAGCUGAAGAAACGCAAAAGAAGACAUUUCAGCUGUACCUAAUAU